rnacentral:rRNA from 1 species
UACGAAGGGGGCUAGCGUUGUUCGGAUUUACUGGGCGUAAAGCGCACGUAGGCGGAUUGUUAAGUCGGGGGUGAAAUCCUGGAGCUCAACUUCAGAAUUGCCUUCGAUACUGGCUUUCUAGAGGCUGGAAGAGGUUAGUGGAAUUCCCAGUGUAGAGGUGAAAUUCGUAGAUAUUGGGAAGAACACCAGUGGCGAAGGCGGCUAACUGGUCCAGAUCUGACGCUGAGGUGCGAAAGCUAGGGGAGCAAACGGG